UGGGGAGUAGCUUACAUAAGAACUAAAGUUCUUAUCUAAACAGUGAGAGAAACUCACACGCACAGAGGAGCUCACAGAAAUGGAGGAGGAGGGAGGAUCUCAUAGUGACAGAAUUAUAUAGGGAGGAGGGUCUAAUUAACAGCAGGUGUGUACCUUAAGGUUUUGUCCAAUUAUGAUGUAUCUAAGGAACUAUUUUUAUAAUAAUCAUGAAAAUAUCAUAGAUAUACAUCAGGUCUCACUUUGAUAGCAUUUACCUUCACUCCUAGAGUGUCAUGUGAAGACCUUUAUAGAUGUUGCUUACGAAUAACAUGUUCUUCUCAACAUUUAGAUGAACACCAUUCUCUGCCAAAUUCUUUGGUUUAAUGUGAGUCUGAUGAUAGGAGUGUAAAUAGUUCUUUCCUUAAUAAACAGCAAAUGCUCCAUUAAUCCA